GACGAACGCUGGCGGCGUGCCUAAUACAUGCAAGUCGAGCGAUGAAGCUUGGUGCUUGCACCAAUUUGAAGAGCAGCGCACGGGUGAGUAACGCGUGGGGAAUCUGCCUUUGAGCGGGGGACAACAUUUGGAAACGAAUGCUAAUACCGCAUAACAUCUUUAAACAUAAGUUUUAAGUUUGAAAGAUGCAAUUGCAUCAUUCAAAGAUGAUCCCGCGUUGUAUUAGCUAGUUGGUGAGGUAAAGGCUCACGAAGGCGAUGAUACAUAGCCGACCUGAGAGGGUGGGUGGCCACACUGAGAGGGAGACAGGGCCCAAUCGGCUAGGGGAGGGAGCAGGAGGGAAACGGGAGGAAGGGGCGAAGGUCUGACCAAGAAACGCGGAGGGAGGGAGGAAGAUUGUCGGGUCGUAAAAGUCGGUUGGUGGGGAGGAACGUGGGUGAGAGUGGAAAGCUCAGUGAGUGACGGUAACGGGCCAAAAAGGGACGGCUAACUACGUG
rnacentral:rRNA from 1 species